rnacentral:rRNA from 1 species
UAGCCGUAAACGAUACUCGCUAGGUGUCGGCCACGGUGCGACCGUUGUCGGUGCCGUAGGGAAGCCGUGAAGCGAGCCACCUGGGAAGUACGGCCGCAAGACUGAAACUUAAAGGAAUUGGCGGGGGGAGCACAACAACGGGUGGAGCUUGCGGUUUAAUUGGAUUCAACGCCGGGAAGCUCACCAGAUAAGACAGCGGAAUGAUUGCCGGGCUGAAGACCCUGCAUGACCAGCUGAGAGGAGGUGCAUGGCGUGUGACUGU